AACAGAUAAGUUGUUGCAAUAUACACACAAACACACACACACACACACUGUAUGUUUGCAGCCACAUGACUGUUUUAUGCACAAUGGGACACUCGCUGCAUUUUCUAAUUCUUGGCAGGGGGAUGAACCACUAUGUGUUGGUGUAGCCAUGUGCUCAGACAUACAUCCAGACACGGUUCCUUUACCCCACCACUCACACACCAUCUAUAUUCUAUGUCCCUGGAUCACAGACGGUGUGCAGCUGUUGGUCUGGAACUCGCCGAUGGACGUCGAGCUGACUCAACGUGGCGGUGAGAGGACGGAGGAGCGCGUCGAGACUCUGCUGCUCGCUGCUCUGCAGGACAAAGUCCACGAGGCACCGGCCAAGGAGGUGGAGUAGCAGCCACCUCAUGAGACCAGGAAAGCUCAUCAAGACGGGGACCAGCAUCCUGAUGGAAUCGCAGACAGCCAUACCUGCUUGCAGUGGGAACUCAGAGGAAUGUGAUUCACUGUCAAACAUGCAUUUUUUGUAAAUGUUGUUUGAUUUGUAAGAGCUCCCAGAGAAAUGCUAAUUUAGUUGUGCCAUCACUUGCCACCUGUACAGGCCAAUCCGACCGCACCUGGGUUCCAGAGGGCCAGUCGGCCAAUCGGCUGAGUGUUUUCAAAGUUCAGGGGUGGCUUUGGCUUGUGUAAUGUUUACACUGAUACUGCUAGGUGUGCAUGUUUGCGGUGAGAGGUUAAGGACAGUCGGUGAGUUUAGGGUAAAUAGUUAAACUGUACAGUCAGCAUUUAUAAAUAGUUGGCUGUGACAUUCGCUUUAGAUCCUGCAGAAACAAAUUAAGGUAAAAAAAAAAAAAGGCCAUGGAAAUAUAACCAAAAGGCAGCUGAGUCAGCUCGAUGUGGUGAGUUACAGCUGCACACCGUCUGUGAUCCAGGGACCUAGAAAAUAGAUGGUGUGAGUAAAGGAACCGUUGUAUGACUUUGGGUACUUGGAGAAGCGCUAUAUAAGAUUAUUAUCAAGCAGACUUACUGUUGAACACCAACUGGGGGAAGUGAAGCCAUGUGUUUGUUGUAGGAAGUAUAAAUGUGGCUGUAACAGCUCGACAUAUGUAAAAAUAAAAGUCAUGGUAUAGUAUGCCAAAAUAUUUAAAAAUAAAAGCCAUAGUAUAGUAUGCCAAAAUAUGUCAAAAUGAAAGUCAUAAUACAGUAUGCCAAAAUAUGUCAAAAAUAAAAGUCAUAGUAUAGUCUGCCAAAAUAUGUCAAAAUGAAAGUCAUAGUAUAUUAUGCCAAAAUAUGUAAAAAUAAAAGUCAUAGUACAGUAUGCCAAAAUAUGUCAAAAAUUAAAGUCAUAGUAUAGUAUGCCAAAAUAUGUCGAAAUAAAAGUCAUAGUAUAGCAUGCCAAAAUAUGUCAAAAUGAAAGUCAUAGUAUAUUAUGCCAAAAUAUGUAAAAAUAAAAGUCAUAGUACAGUAUGCCAAAAUAUGUCUAAAUAAAAGUCAUAGUAUAGUAUGCCAAAAUAUGUCAAAAAUAAAGGUCAUAGUAUAGUAUG